ACGUAGGUGGCAAGCGUUGUCCGGAAUUAUUGGGCGUAAAGCGCGCGCAGGCGGCUUCUUAAGUCCAUCUUAAAAGUGCGGGGCUUAACCCCGUGAUGGGAUGGAAACUGGGAGGCUGGAGUAUCGGAGAGGAAAGUGGAAUUCCUAGUGUAGUGGUGAAAUGCGUAGAGAUUAGGAAGAACACCGGUGGCGAAGGCGACUUUCUGGACGACAACUGACGCUGAGGCGCGAAAGCGUGGGGAGCAAACAG
rnacentral:rRNA from 1 species